CCCUUAGAUGUUCUGGGCGGCCCGCGCACUACAAUGGCGUGUGCAGCGAGUGCCGAAGUAGAGUUUUCCGAGGUAUUCUUGCAAUGCUGGUUUUGAUGGGGAUAGACCCUUGCAACUGUUGGUUUUGAACGAGGAAUUCCUUGUAAGCAUGGUUUAUCAUCCGACGCUGAAUGCGUCCCUGCCCUUUGUACACACCGCCCGUCGCUCCUACCGAUGAGUCGUCCGGUGAAGUUCGUAGACCUCGUGAUCGCGGAUCACUGGGGGAAGCAAAAUGAACCUCGCGGUUUAGAGGAAGGAGAAGUCGUAACA
rnacentral:rRNA from 1 species